AACGAACGCUGGCGGCAGGCCUAACACAUGCAAGUCGAACGCUCCAGCAAUGGAGAGUGGCAGACGGGUGAGUAACGCGUGGGAACCUUCCCUAUGGUUCGGAAUAGCUCAGGGAAACUUGAGGUAAUACCGGAUAAGCCCUUCGGGGAAGGAUUAUCGCCAUUGGAUGGGCCCGCGUAGGAUUAGCUAGUUGGUGAGGUAACGGCUCACCAAGGCGACGAUCCUUAGCUGGUCUGAGAGGAUGAUCAGCCACACUGGGAC
rnacentral:rRNA from 1 species